UAAAGAAACACUUUUUCCAUCUCUCUUUCUUUUGGAGCAACGACGACAAAGAAACACUUCUCCAAAUCUGUAACUUGUCUUCAUCUCCAACAACAAAGAACGACAACGAACUCCGAACUUGUCUUCAUCUCUUUCAACAAGAGAGACAACACGAUGGUUUAAGAUAUGAGGAGGCAAGCAUAUGAAACCGAGGAAGCAGCUGCAAUACCUAUCACUGUGAGGCAGCUGGAAGCUGUAGUGAGGUUGAGUGAAGCACUUGCAAGAAUGAGGCUGUAAGUUCAAGGAUUCUGAAACUUGCCGAUAACACAUAUUAUUUCCGUCAAAGUCAUUCACAAUAAGCAGACUGGUCAGUCAGAGUGAUAUGGAUUUGUGGAAUUUAGUUCUCAUGCAGCAGUUGACAAAGUCCUUCAGAGCUACAAUGGUUCACCAAUGCCAAAUACAGAACAAGUCUUCCACCUUAACUAGGCAGCCUUUAGCAUGGAUAAUAGUCUUCCUUAUUUUAUCCUUGUUGAGUAAGGACAGACGUAUUUCAUUGUGUAAGCAUUUGGAAGUAAAAAUUUGUUUUGUAAUGUUCUUUAUUCUUUCUGUAAACAUGAAAGUAAAAAUAAACUUCAUUGUUUAUAAAUAAUGUUAUCAAUAUUUCGCAGAUGUGUUAAUGUUAUAUAACCCUGCGCUUGUGAUAAAGAGGCCAUUGUUUUGUCCUCCUGUUUUGUCAUGUAAUAUUUUCUUGUCCUGUAAGGAUAUGGAUGGAUGUGGCUCUUUAUUUAUGUAGCUUCAUAUGAUUA